rnacentral:misc_RNA from 1 species
UAUGCUAUGCAUAACGCCACAGAG